CACAUCAAUACACAGGCAAUUUUGGUUGUUUACCUGAUAUUGUAAUGCACACAAAGGUAUACACAACCAUAAAAAAGAAAAAAGUGAAGAUAACGAUCAGUGAGCAAUCUCAUAACUCCUACAGGGAUAGAAAAGCAAGAGUUGGGCUACCAUGGACCCAUUAAUAUACCAGAGAUGGGAUCAUUUGCCUAGGAAAAGUAAACAUUCCUUGUCUACCAGUGCACCCGUCCUGAGCCCUGUACCCCGAUCAGGUAACGUAGUUACAAUUAGUGUAUAAAGAAUCGCCUAACGUAGGUGUGAGGGAUGACAGACAGUUUUGACCCAUUGAUAGGUUGUAUUGAUAAACUAGAUCGUUAUAAUGUCCAUAUAAUUUGCGAAAUAUUGCGAGACCGUUGAAGCCCCUGUUACAUUAUUUUGUUUGUCAGUCGACUGCCUCGAUUUAAAAACUGAUCAUACACAAAGCAAGUUCUUGCGUAUCGAAUCAAUUCAAAGACAUAAACACCAUAUGCAGGUGAUAAUGGAAUAUUGCUACAUCAAUAUGGAAAGCUGAAAAUGGAGAAGCUGAACUGAUCGUCAUCCCGUUUGUCAUAAGUGACUGGCUGGUUUUAUGUGGAAAAUUCCCAAACCAAGGAACGGAAAUGGAUUAAAUUUCCGGAUAAAGACACGCUCUUUCAAGAUAUUUCGUCCACCAGAACCUAACUCCAUAUACUCACUACUGUCUACACGAUACAGUGAACAUUGCCACAUCCUUAAGUCAUCCGUUGCCAACGCAGUAUAAUGUACUUGUAUGGGGAUCAGUUGACUGAAGUACUUCGUAGCUGACAUUUUCAUUAAAUGCUGAAAGGCUCUACAAUAUAAACUAUAGAAGCACUGGACUCAUGUUCAGCAUGGACUGUGUUCCCUGAGGGAUCAAUGCAUGUGAAUGAACUGAUAUAUUUACACGUGUAGCGACACUUCGCCCAUGCUAACAUUUAAUGGCUGCUUCCCACAAGUAAAGCGCGCCAAUUUUGAAAAAAAUCAUAUUAAGAAUGCAUGUAAAACUUAUACGGUACCAAUUUUGAUGCACCAGAUGCGCAUUUCGACAAAUUAUGUCUCUUCAUACAUUGUUAUGUUCUUUAUAAAUGUUUAUCUGAUGUUUGGAAAUUUAUGAUUCCUUGUUAUGACAGGAAUUCUUUUGUUUUGCCUGUUGUGACAUAGGACCACGUUCUUUCACUUGUAACCCAGAACUUAAAUAAAUGAAA